CCAGUAGUCAUAUGCUUGUCUCAAAGAUUAAGCCAUGCAUGUCUCAGUACAAGCCAAAUUAAGGUGAAACCGCGAAAGGCUCAUCUAAAUCAGUUAUGGUUCCUUAGAUCGUACCCACAUUUACUUGGAUAACUGUGGUAAUUCUAGAGCUAAUACAUGCAAACAGAGCUCCGACCGGAGACGGAAGGAGCGCUUUUAUUAGAUCAAAACCAAUCGGUGGCGGGUCUCCCGUCACCGUACACCUUGGUGACUCUGAAUAACUUAUUGCUGAUCGCACGGUCUCGCACCGGCGACGCAUCUUUCAAAUGUCUGCCUUAUCAACUGUCGAUGGUAGGUUCUGCGCCUACCAUGGUUGUAACGGGUAACGGGGAAUCAGGGUUCGAUUCCGGAGAGGGAGCCUGAGAAACGGCUACCACAUCCAAGGAAGGCAGCAGGCGCGCAAAUUACCCACUCCCGGCACGGGGAGGUAGUGACGAAAAAUAACGAUACGGGACUCAUCCGAGGCCCCGUAAUCGGAAUGAGUACACUCUAAACCCUUUAACGAGGAUCAAUUGGAGGGCAAGUCUGGUGCCAGCAGCCGCGGUAAUUCCAGCUCCAAUAGCGUAUAUUAAAGUUGUUGCGGUUAAAAAGCUCGUAGUCGAAUUUGUGUCCCGCGCCGCCGGUUCAUCGCUCGCGGUGUCAACUGGCGUGUCCGCGGGACGUCCUGCCGGUGGGCUUAGCCCCCCGUGGGCGGCCCAAUCUCAAUCCCACCGCGGUGCUCUUCACUGAGUGUCGAGGUGGGCCGGCACGUUUACUUUGAACAAAUUAGAGUGCUUAAAGCAGGCUAAAACAUCGCCUGAAUACUGUGUGCAUGGAAUAAUGGAAUAGGACCUCGGUUCUAUUUUGUUGGUUUUCGGAACCCCGAGGUAAUGAUUAAUAGGAACGGAUGGGGGCAUUCGUAUUGCGACGUUAGAG
rnacentral:rRNA from 1 species